AGCAGCCGCGGUAAUUCCAGCUCCAAUAGCGUAUAUUAAAGUUGUUGUGGUUAAAAAGCUCGUAGUUGAACCUUGGGCCUGGCUGGCCGGUCCGCCUCACCGCGUGUACUGGUCCGGCCGGGCCUUUCCCUCUGUGGAACCCCAUGCCCUUCACUGGGUGUGGCGGGGAAACAGGACUUUUACUGUGAAAAAUUAGAGUGCUCCAGGCAGGCCUAUGCUCGAAUACAUUAGCAUGGAAUAAUAGAAUAGGACGUGUGGUUCUAUUUUGUUGGUUUCUAGGACCGCCGUAAUGAUUAAUAGGGACAGUCGGGGGCAUCAGUAUUCAAUUGUCAGAGGUGAAAUUCUUGGAUUUAUUGAAGACUAACUACUGCGAAAGCAUUUGCCAAGGAUGUUUUCAUUAAUCAGGAACGAAAGUUAGGGGAUCGAAGACGAUCAGAUACCGUCGUAGUCUUAACCAUAAACUAUGCC
rnacentral:sRNA from 1 species